rnacentral:rRNA from 1 species
GUUGACCUCGGAUCAGGUAGGGAUACCCGCUGAACUUAAGCAUAUCAAUAAGCGGAGGAAAAGAAACCAACAGGGAUUGCCCUAGUAACGGCGAGUGAAGCGGCAAUAGCUCAAAUUUGAAAGCUGGCCUUCUGGUCCGCAUUGUAAUUUGUAGAGGAUGCUUUUAGGCAGCCGCCGGUCUAAGUUCCUUGGAACAGGACGUCAUAGAGGGUGAGAAUCCCGUAUGUGACCGGCUCAGGCACCUUCUGUAAAGCUCCUUCGACGAGUCGAGUUGUUUGGGAAUGCAGCUCUAAAUGGGAGGUAAAUUUCUUCUAAAGCUAAAUACUGGCGAGAGACCGAUAGCGCACAAGUAGAGUGAUCGAAAGAUGAAAAGCACUUUGGAAAGAGAGUUAAAAAGCACGUGAAAUUGUUGAAAGGGAAGCGCUUGCAAUCAGACUUGGCCUCGGAUGUUCAACCGGUCUUCUGACCGGCCUAUUCAUUCGUGGCCAGGCCAGCAUCAGUUUUGGCGGCCGGAUAAAGGCCUUGGGAAUGUGGCUCUCCCUUCGGGGUGAGUGUUAUAGCCCAGGGUGUAAUACGGCCAGCCGGGACUGAGGUCCGCGCUUCGGCUAGGAUGCUGGCGUAAUGGUUGUAAGCGGCCCGUCUUGAAACACGGACCAAGGAGUCUAACAUCUAUGCGAGUGUUAGGGUGUCAAACCCUUACGCGUAAUGAAAGUGAACGGAGGUGGGAACCCGCAAGGGUGCACCAUCGACCGAUCCUGAUGUCUUCGGAUGGAUUUGAGUAAGAGCAUAGCUGUUGGGACCCGAAAGAUGGUGAACUAUGCCUGAAUAGGGUGAAGCCAGAGGAAACUCUGGUGGAGGCUCGCAGCGGUUCUGACGUGCAAAUCGAUCGUCAAAUUUGGGUA